GUCCUGGAAUCAUCCCUGUGGAUACUGAAGGAUGACUAUAGAGGGAAGCAUCAUCAUCACCACCAUCACCAUUCCCAUCAAGCUGUUUUCUUCAUUGUAGCAGCUAUUAUUUCUAUACCACUUAUGAUGUGUCAUGGACUGUUCUUGAUGUUUCAUGUACAUUGACUUGUUUCAUUUUCACAACACUCCAGAUAAACACUGUUAUCAUCUACAUUUUAUAGGUAAGGAAACAGAGACAAACAAAACAAAGUAAUUUUCCUUGCCUUAGGUUACACAGUUCAUGAGCAAUGUUGCCACUACUCAAACCCAGAUAGUCUGGCUUUACAGUAUCUGCCCUUUACACUACCUCUAAUGGUAAAUGAGGGUCUAAACUUCAUAUUAACAUUACUGUGGAAUUAAUAUUUCUCCGUUAAAUUUAAAACUCCUUGAAGGCAGACAUGUCUCUUAUUCUGACUGGAAUGCCUCUUGCCUUAUGCACACUGGGUGCGAAGUUUGUAUUUGCUGUGAAAACAAAUGAAUAUGUUUUAGGAAUGAAGCCAUUAGCAAAAGAAAGAGAACGACCUGAAUAACAAAUUUAGCUGAUUCUGAGGCAGAUUCUACUUCCUGUGUACAGAAAAUUUACAAAGAAGCCAUGAAUCUCUGGAACCAUUCUGGAAACUAGGAUUGAAGUAUAAAAUCCGUAAGUACUGUCUCUUCACUCCUCUGGACAAAAAUCCUUUACAUACUCUGUGCCAGACACUAUACACACUGGGCACACAAAAGUGAAUAACAUCCAUUCUCUGAUCUCUUGCAAAUUAGGGAUACAGAUUAAUUUUAGAAAACAAUACAGAUUAGUUAUCUCAUAUAUUACAAUAUCCUGCAAUUGGAGCUAUGGUAAAGAAAGUACAGAUACUAUCAACCACUAGUCAAAAGGCCUCUCUCAGAACAGGUGAUCUUCAAAAAGGUGCUCUUUGCUUUGGGAUGAUGCAGCCUGAGCCACCUAAUCUUCAGGAUUUUUUUUCAAGGCACAUACUGCACAGCAUAUGCAGGAACUUUGCCAAUGUGGGAGAUUUUGCACCAAAAGCUGGCCUACUCAGCUAGGGGGUAGGAGGGAACUCCAGGGGAGACAGGAAAGUAACGCUAAGGAUUCUUCCUAAGGUGUAAGACAGGCCCCUCCCAACAGCCAAGUCUUUCCUUAUGCAUGCCCACGCCUGCAACAGGGUAUAGCAACUGAAAAUGCCCUCUGUGACCGGGCACAGUGGCUCACGCCUAUAAUCCCAGCACUUUGGGGAGCCGAGGUGGGCAGAUCAUGAGGUCCGGAGACCAAGAAGAUCCUGGUUAACAUGGUGAAACCCUGUCUCUACUAAAAAUACAAAAAAUUAAUCGGGUGUGGUGGUGGGUGCCUGUAGUCCCAGCUUGUAGAGGACUACCUGCUCGCAAACGAGAUGUUCCCGAUAAGUCCUGCUCUUGCAAACGAAGCAGGGCGUUCCUUCCCUGUAAACAGGGAGGACAAAGGAGCCAGCUGCAAACAGCAGACCCUGGGGGCUUGUUUAUGUGUAAACAUCUUGAAAAUCCAGAAAGUCAGGGGAAGGUCAGAAAAACAACAAUGUGUCUUGUGACUUGGCAACAUUCCACAAACGACUGUAUAAAAUAAAGCAGAGCAUGCCAUUCGAGGCGGCCGCCAUCUUUGUCUUGUCUUGUGUUGUCUUACGUGUUCAUUCCUUUGUUUAGGAGACACGCAUACCCCAACACAGCUACUCCAGAGGCUGAGGCAGGAGAAUGGCGUGAACCCAGGAGGCGGAGCUUGCAGUGAGCUGAGAUCGCCCCGCUGCACUCCAGCCUGGGUGACAGAGCCAGACUCUGUCUCAAAAAAAAAAAAAAAAAAA
rnacentral:lncRNA from 1 species